rnacentral:rRNA from 1 species
GUUGUAUGGUUAAGUGACUAAGCGUACACGGUGGAUGCCUUGGCAGUCAGAGGCGAUGAAAGACGUAGUAACUUGCGAUAAGCCCAGAUUAGGUAGUAACAACCAUUUGAGUCUGGGAUUUCUGAAUGGGGAAACCCACNUNCAUAAGNANGUAUCCUUACCUGAAUACAUAGGGUAAGGAGGCGAACCGGGGGAACUGAAACAUCUAAGUACCCCGAGGAAAAGAAAUCAACCGAGAUUCCGAAAGUAGCGGCGAGCGAAAUUGGACUAGCCCUUAAGCUUUACACNCGUUAGACGAACGGUCUGGAAAGUCCGACGAUACAGGGUGAUAGUCCCGUAGUUGACGACGUGUGUUCAGUGAAAUCGAGUAGGGCGGGACACGUGAUAUCCUGUCUGAAUAUGGGGGGACCAUCCUCCAAGGCUAAAUACUACUGACUGACCGAUAGUGAACCAGUACCGUGAGGGAAAGGCGAAAAGAACCCCUGUGAGGGGAGUGAAAUAGAACCUGAAACCGUGUACGUACAAGCAGUAGGAGCAGGCUUUGUCCUGUGACUGCGUACCUUUUGUAUAAUGGGUCAGCGACUUAUAUUCAGUGGCAAGGUUAACCAUCUAGGGGAGCCGUAGGGAAACCGAGUCUUAACUGGGCGUUCAGUCUCUGGAUAUAGACCCGAAACCAGGUGAUCUAGCCAUGGGCAGGUUGAAGGUUGAGUAACAUCAACUGGAGGACCGAACCGACUAAUGUUGAAAAAUUAGCGGAUGACUUGUGGCUAGGGGUGAAAGGCCAAUCAAACCUGGAGAUAGCUGGUUCUCCCCGAAAGCUAUUUAGGUAGCGCCUCGGACGAAUACUACUGGGGGUAGAGCACUGUUAAGGCUAGGGGGUCAUCCCGACUUACCAACCCUUUGCAAACUCCGAAUACCAGUAAGUACUAUCCGGGAGACACACGGCGGGUGCUAACGUCCGUCGUGGAGAGGGAAACAACCCAGACCGCCAGCUAAGGUCCCAAAUUACUACUAAGUGGGAAACGAUGUGGGAAGGCUCAGACAGCCAGGAUGUUGGCUUAGAAGCAGCCAUCAUUUAAAGAAAGCGUAAUAGCUCACUGGUCGAGUCGGCCUGCGCGGAAGAUGUAACGGGGCUAAGUAGUAAACCGAAGCUGCGGCAAUACUCUUUGAGUAUUGGGUAGGGGAGCGUUCUGUAAGCGGUUGAAGGUGUGUGGUAACGCAUGCUGGACGUAUCAGAAGUGCGAAUGCUGACAUGAGUAACGAUAAAGGGGGUGAAAAACCUCCUCGCCGGAAGACCAAGGGUUCCUGUCCAACGUUAAUCGGGGCAGGGUAAGUCGACCCCUAAGGCGAGGCCGAAAGGCGUAGUCGAUGGGAAACGGGUUAAUAUUCCCGUACUUCUUACAAUUGCGAUGGGGGGACGGAGAAGGCUAGGUGGGCCUGGCGACGGUUGUCCAGGUUCAAGUGCGUAGGCUUAAGAGUUAGGUAAAUCCGGCUCUUUUUAAGGCUGAGACACGACGUCGAGCNNCUACGGNNGUGAAGUCAUUGAUGCCAUGCUUCCAGGAAAAGCCUCUAAGCUUCAGAUUGUAAGGAAUCGUACCCCAAACCGACACAGGUGGUCGGGUAGAGAAUACCAAGGCGCUUGAGAGAACUCGGGUGAAGGAACUAGGCAAAAUGGUACCGUAACUUCGGGAGAAGGUACGCUCUUGAUGGUGAAGUCCCUNGCGGAUGGAGCUGACGAGAGUCGCAGAUACCAGGUGGCUGCAACUGUUUAUUAAAAACACAGCACUGUGCAAAAUCGUAAGAUGACGUAUACGGUGUGACGCCUGCCCGGUGCCGGAAGGUUAAUUGAUGGGGUUAGACUUCGGUCGAAGCUCUUGAUCGAAGCCCCGGUAAACGGCGGCCGUAACUAUAACGGUCCUAAGGUAGCGAAAUUCCUUGUCGGGUAAGUUCCGACCUGCACGAAUGGCGUAAUGAUGGCCACGCUGUCUCCACCCGAGACUCAGUGAAAUUGAAAUCGCUGUGAAGAUGCAGUGUACCCGCGGCUAGACGGAAAGACCCCGUGAACCUUUACUACAGCUUGGCACUGAACAUUGACCCUACAUGUGUAGGAUAGGUGGGAGGCUUUGAAGCACGUACGCCAGUAUGUGUGGAGCCGUCCUUGAAAUACCACCCUUGUAGUGUUGAUGUUCUAACGUCGACCCCUAAUCGGGGUUNCGGACAGUGCCUGGUGGGUAGUUUGACUGGGGCGGUCUCCUCCCAAAGAGUAACGGAGGAGCACGAAGGUGGGCUAAUCACGGUUGGACAUCGUGAGGUUAGUGCAAUGGCAUAAGCCCGCUUGACUGCGAGAAUGACAAUUCGAGCAGGUGCGAAAGCAGGUCAUAGUGAUCCGGUGGUUCUGAAUGGAAGGGCCAUCGCUCAACGGAUAAAAGGUACUCCGGGGAUAACAGGCUGAUACCGCCCAAGAGUUCAUAUCGACGGCGGUGUUUGGCACCUCGAUGUCGGCUCAUCACAUCCUGGGGCUGAAGUCGGUCCCAAGGGUAUGGCUGUUCGCCAUUUAAAGUGGUACGCGAGCUGGGUUUAGAACGUCGUGAGACAGUUCGGUCCCUAUCUGCCGUGGGCGUUGGAAGAUUGAAGGGGGCUGCUCCUAGUACGAGAGGACCGGAGUGGACGAACCUCUGGUGUUCGGGUUGUGUCGCCAGACGCAUUGCCCGGUAGCUAAGUUCGGAAUCGAUAACCGCUGAAAGCAUCUAAGCGGGAAGCGAGCCCUGAGAUGAGUCUUCCCUGAUACUUUAAGUAUCCUAAAGGGUUGUCGGAGACUACGACGUUGAUAGGUCAGGUGUGUAAGUGCUGUGAGGCAUUGAGCUAACUGAUACUAAUUGCCCGUGAGGCUUAACCAUACAACACCCAAGGGGUUU